CCUUCAUUUUUUCACAAGCGCUGUGGGUCAGUGAGAAAGCGCCAGGCUGGAGCUAUUUACGAAACCUGAGUCUUAAAAAGUGUCAAAUGAAUAUUUGAUUUGUUAGUUUGGUAUGGGUGCAUUAUUUUACUAGUUUUUUCAUCAUAAUUCCAAACUUUCAAAAUAGAAAAAUGUCCUUUGGCUGACAUUUUAUUCUACAGUAAUGGCAUUUUCAUCAUUUCUCAAAGCUACCACCAACUGAUUGUAAUACGUUUUUAUUCACGUUUUAUCAUGGGAAAUAAUGAGUGAAGGAAUGUACAUUAGAUGUACACUUAAAAUCAGAAUCCAUUGUGGUUACUAAGACAGUAAAUACACGUAGAGAAUGAGUUGAUCACUCUGAACUCUACAAAUUGGCAUAAAGAUGAUAUAGUGCACAAUGUAGGAGAUGGGGAAUAAUUCAGACACAGUUUAUUUGUGAAGCAUUGUUGGUGUUAAAAUGCAGAAAGACAGUGCUCAUGAUAUAUAUGAUGAUAUUGUUGCUAAAUGUUCUUGCAUAAUUGUAUUAUAAAUCUUUUUCAAUUUUGUUUACAGAAGACUGUGACAUCUAAUUUGAGAAAACAGUGAACGUGGAUAUAAGAAUGCCUCGUACCAAGAAGAGCCUGCGUUCGCAGGCAGCUAAGAAGAGGAUGGCUGACCAGAUAGAUCCUGAUCUUAUAGAGGCUCUGCCACCUCUUAAAAAAUUGGCAGAAAUAACUGAACAUUGUGUAUAUCACAAUGGGCCUAACUAUGUUCCAAACUGUGUUCCAAACUGUGUUCCAAACUGUGUUCCAAACUGUGUUCCAAACUGUGUUCCAAACUCACUUCCAAAUUGUGUUCCAAAUUCACUUCCAAAUUCACUUCCAAACUCACUUCCAAUCUCUCAGAAAGAUUCUAAAAUGACCAAGAAUGCUGUUUUUGAUGUAUGUCCACAGAAACCCUUCAUCGCAGGUUCUUUCCAUCAAGCAGAUGCUCGUUUUGUCAAUUAUGGCAAGCAAUGUGGUGUCAACAGUUUAACUGCAAUCCUGAUGUGUAAAAUGAAAAAUGUGUUGCAGUGGAGCACCAGUGACAUUAAUUCUGUCUUAACGCAUGGGGACCAGUUUUAUUCAGAUAUGAACCGUGCAGGAAUAAUCAGUGAUGACAUCAAUGGAUACAUAUAUGUUGAGGAGCUGCCUAA